AGUUUGAUCAUGGCUCAGAUUGAACGCUGGCGUGCAAGGCCUAACACAUGCAAGUCGAGCGGCAGCACAAGUGAGUUUACUUAUGAGGCGGCGAGCGGCGGACGGGUAGAGUAAUGCCUAGGGAUCUGCCCAGUCGAGGGGGAUAACAGUUGGAAACGACUGCUAAUACCGCAUACGCCCUACGGGGGAAAGGAGGGGACCUUCGGGCCUUCCGCGAUUGGAUGAACCUAGGUGGGAUUAGCUAGUUGGUGAGGUAAUGGCUCACCAAGGCGACGAUCCCUAGCUGUUCUGAGAGGAUGAUCAGCCACACUGGGACUGAGACACGGGCCAGACUCCUACGGGAGGCAGCAGUGGGGAAUAUUGCACAAUGGGGGAAACCCUGAUGCAGCCAUGCCGCGUGUGUGAAGAAGGCCUUCGGGUUGUAAAGCACUUUCAGUAGGGAGGAAAGGGUGAGUCUUAAUACGGCUCAUCUGUGACGUUACCUACAGAAGAAGGACCGGCUAACUCCGUGCCAGCAGCCGCAGUAAUACGNGAGGGUCCGAGCGUUAAAUCGGAAUUACUGGGGCGUAAAAGCGUGCGCAG
rnacentral:rRNA from 1 species